UACGUAGGGGGCGAGCGUUAUCCGGAAUUAUUGGGCGUAAAGGGUUCGCAGGUGGUCCUUUAAGUCAGGUGUGAAAGGCAGUGGCUCAACCAUUGCAAGCACUUGAAACUGAAGGACUUGAGUACAGGAGAGGAAAGCGGAAUUCCUAGUGUAGCGGUGAAAUGCGUAGAUAUUAGGAGGAACACCAGUGGCGAAGGCGGCUUUCUGGACUGAAACUGACACUGAGGAACGAAAGCGUGGGGAGCAAACAGGAUUAGAUACCCUGGUAGUCCCUGA
rnacentral:rRNA from 1 species